rnacentral:rRNA from 1 species
CUACGGGCCGCUGCAGUGAGGAAUAUUGCACAAUGGAGGAAACUCUGAUGCAGCAACGCCGCGUGGAGGAUGACGCAUUUCGGUGUGUAAACUCCUUUUAUAUGUCAAGAAAAUGACGGUAGCAUAUGAAUAAGCACCGGCUAACUCCGUGCCAGCAGCCGCGGUAAUACGGAGGGUGCAAGCGUUACUCGGAAUCACUGGGCGUAAAGGACGCGUAGGCGGGAUAUCAAGUCAGGUGUGAAAUCCUACAGCUUAACUGUAGAACUGCACUUGAAACUGGUAACCUAGAGUAUGGGAGGGGGAGAUGGAAUGAGUGGUGUAGGGGUAAAAUCCGUAGAUAUCACUAGGAAUACCUAAAGCGAAGGCGAUCUCCUGGAACAUAACUGACGCUAAGGCGUGAAAGCGUGGGGAGCAAACAGGAUUAGAUACCCGAGUAGUC